rnacentral:rRNA from 1 species
UACAGAGGGUGCAAGCGUUAAUCGGAAUUAUUGGGCGUAAAGCGCAUGUAGGUGGUUUUGUAAGUUUGAUGUGAAAGCCCUGGGCUUAACCUGGGACUGCGUUGAAUACUGCAAACUUGAGUCGGGCAGAGGGCGGUGGAAUUUCCGGUGGUAGCGGUGAAAUGCGUAGAGAUCGGAAAGAACAUCGGUGGCGAAGGCGGCCGCCGGGCCCAGACUGACACUGAGGUGCGAA